AACUGGGAUUGGGAUUGGGAACUGGGAUUGGGAUUGGGAUCGGGAUUGGGAUUGGGAACUGGGAUCGGGAUUGGGAACUGGGAUUGGGAUUGGGAACUGGGAUUGGGAUUGGGAACUGGGAUUGGGAACUGGGAUCGGGAUUGGGAACUGGGAUUGGGAUUGGGAUCGGGAUUGGGAACUGGGAUUGGGAUCGGGAUUGGGAUCAGGAACCAGGACUCCAAUCGGGAUCAGGAUUGGGAUCGGGAACUGGGAUUGGGAACUGGGAUCGGGAUCAGGAACCGGGAUCGGGUUUGGGAACCGGGAUUGGGAUCGGGAUUGGGAUUGGGGGUUGGAACUGGGAUCAGCCCUAUAAAUGAACUGGAAUAAAAUAAAAUAAAAUAAAAUAAAAUAAAAUAAAAUAAAAUAAAAUAAAAUAAAAUAAAAUAAAAUAAAAUUAAAUUAAAAAAAGUAAAAUAAAAUAAAAUAAAAUAAAAAUAAAAUAAAAUAAAAUAUAAAAUAAAAUAAAAUAAAAUAAAAUAAAAUAAAAUAAAAUAAAAUAAAUUAAAAUAAAAUAAAGUUCUGGAAUAAUCCUGGCGUCCCAUCAAAACCCAAGAAUUACGGAAAAAAAUCCAGGAAUCCCAAAAAACCCCUGGAAUUACGGAAAAAUCCGGGAAUUCCUUGUGGAAUCCGUUAGAGGCAGCGAGGGAGAGGCGUUAGUGGAGCCCAAGGAGGGAAUUCCCGACCGGAAAAUUCCACGGAAAACCCCGGGAAUGCCCCAAUCCAAGCGGGAAAAUUCCACGGAAAACCCCGGGAAUGCCCCAUUCCCAGCCCUUGGAAUUCUCGGGAUGGGGAAAACCUUGGGAUUUAUCCCAAGGGAGGCUCCUGGGGUUUUUUGGGAUUUAUGAUGGAAUUGUAGAAUUCCAGAAUUAUGGAAUUCUGGGAUUGUGGAAUUCCGAAGUCGUGGAAUUCCAGAAUUCUGGAAUUCUGAGAUCCUUGAAUUAUGGAAUAGGGGAAUUCCAGGAUCAGGGAAUUCUGGAAUUCCGGGAUCUCGGCAUUUCUGAAAUCGUGGAAUUCCAGAUUUAUGGAAUUCCGGCAGAUUUUGGGAUCGUGGAUUUGUGGAAUUCCUGGAUGACAGAAUUCCGGGAUUUUGGGACCGUGGAAUUCCGGGAUCAUCUGGGCCGGAAGGUCCAGGCCCGCCUUUCCCAUCCCUUUUUCCCAGGAAUUUUCCCGGGAAUUCCGUUGAUUUUUUCGGGAAGCGCUUCCAGCCCGCAAUGAGAGGAAAAAGCGGAAAGAGGAAAAAUUCCAAGGCCAAUCCCAAAAUUCCCUACCUUGGUCUCUACUUUUAUUCCCAGAACCUGAACGGGCGGAAAAAAACCAAAAUUCC
rnacentral:lncRNA from 1 species